UCUUACUACUUUGACUGCCAUGAUGUGGCUUUGGAGAACUUUGCCAACUCUUUUCUUCACCAAUCUCAGGAAGAGAGGGAGCAUGCUGAGAAACCGAUGAAGCUGCAGAACCAACUAGGCGGCCGAAUCUUCCUUCAGGGUAUCAAGAAACCAGACCUGACGACUGGGGGAGGGGGCUGAACACACUGGAGUGUGGGUCAGUCACUACUGGACUUGCACAAUCUGGCCAGUGACAAAAAUGACCCCCAUUUGUGUCACUUCAUUGAGACUCAUGACCUGAAUGAGCAGGUGAAAUCCAUCAGAGAAUUGGGUGACCAGAUUGGUAGAGCGUCGUGUAGGGAUAGAGAGU